rnacentral:rRNA from 1 species
UACAGAGGUCUCAAGCGUUGUUCGGAUUCAUUGGGCGUAAAGGGUGCGUAGGUGGCAUGGUCAGUCGGAUGUGAAAUCCCGGGGCUCAACCCCGGAACUGCAUUCGAUAUUGCCGCGCUAGAGUACUGGAGAGGAGAUCGGAAUUCCUGGUGUAGCGGUGAAAUGCGCAGAUAUCAGGAGGAACACCGGUGGCGAAGGCGGAUCUCUGGGCCUUACCUGACGCUGAGGCGCGAAAGCUAGGGGAGCGAACAGG